GCGUCGGUAGUGCAAUGGUUAGCAUACGCUCCCGGAAAGAGUGAUAUCUGCGUUCGAUUCCCGGCUGACGCA